UUUCAGAUGUAAUUGGUUGUGUCACUUGGUGUGGAAAUCUAGAGUUGUUCAAAUCACAAAAAGGGGAAUGGAAGAAGUUUAUGUUGGAACUCAAAGAUUUGGAGGGUAACACACAACGCUGCACUUUGUGGAAUGACUAUGCAGUUCAAUUUAAUGACUAUGUGGAGAAGAACAAAUCUGGAGAGCAUGUUAUCACCAUCAUGCAACAUGUCAUCCUUAACGAAUUUAGGGAAAAUGUGACAGUUCAAUCUGAUAAGUUUGGAACACGAAUCUUCAUAAAUGAAGAUAUCCAACAAGCUCAUGAUUUUAG